rnacentral:lncRNA from 1 species
GCCGGGGUUACUGGGGGGGCGGCUGCCGGCUCCCGCAUGCGGAGCGCGGGUUAGAGGCACCCCAGCGGGCAGGCUGUCCCCAACAUUGCAGGACGUGUUAGCCACAGUGUGGGGCUGGAGGCACGACAGGCGGAGCGAACCUCAGGCACGAGUCACCUUUUGUAUCGUCCAGCAGAUGAGGCGUCCUCGGGGAACAGGAGGGGGUCUGCAAUGGUGUAUCUCCCAUCCAACCUGGCAUAGCCUUUUACAGAUUGACAGUGGAGAUUACGGCUUCAACAUAUGAAUUUUGAGGAUACAUAGUUGGAUUGACCCAGGAUUGGAAUUACUCCAGGUUGGUAUGUAGAAGAGCAAGAAGACAUGCAAUUGAGAGUAUUAAGCAAAAAAGAGAUUGAAAGAAAAAUGUAUCCUUGUUUUCAAACUGUCUGGAGAAGGGAACAAGGACAAGAGGAGACUGAGAUUGGUGGUGGGGUGUAGGAGUCAAGGGCUUUAGUGCUUUUGAUGCAAUUAUGAAAUACACAUUGGUAAGGUUAGGAGAUGAUGCUCAGAUACUGGAGUUUAAGAUUUCAGAGAUGGAGCAAUUCCAGUUGAUGACGAGAUCUGGGAUGUGAUCAAGAGUGUAAGAUAGAAAAAGUAGAUAAGAGGUAAAGAUGAAAGAUCUGUGAGGCUAGGCUGCUUGAGCAUGUUUAUAUAUUGAUGAAAAUUCAUUAGAGAGGGAGAGUGUGAGAUUUAGCUUGUGUCAGUCAGCAGGAAAUAGAUAAAAUACUUUGGGAUCAUUUUAGGAAGAGACUAUGUACAAUGGUGUAGUUACAAUAUAGGGAACCUGCAAGGGAUUGUAAGGUAUCCUUGGGAAAGAAGCAGCAGAACAAUGGCCUAAGAUUUAUUUAAAGGGAUGAGAGAAGGGAGAAAUUACCAGAACCCAGAAGGAGACAGCUAACUUGAG